rnacentral:rRNA from 1 species
UAUUGCGCAAUGGGGGUAACCCUGAUGCAGCGACGCCGCGUGAGUGAAGAAGUAUCUCGGUAUGUAAAGCUCUAUCAGCAGGAAAGAUAAUGACGGUACCUGACUAAGAAGCCCCGGCUAACUGCGUUCCAGCAGCCGCGGUAAUACGUAGGGGGCAAGCGUUAUCCGGAAUUACUGGGCGUAAAGGGAGCGUAGACGGUGAAGUAAGUCUGGAGUGAAAGGCGGGGGCCCAACCCCCGGACUGCUCUGGAAACUAUUUGACUGGAGUGCAGGAGAGGUAAGCGGAAUUCCUAGUGUAGCGGUGAAAUGCGUAGAUAUCAGGAGGAACACCAAUGGCGAAGGCGGCUUACUGGACUGUAACUGACGUUGAGGCUCGAAAGCGUGGGGAGCAAACAGG